AUUCCGGCUCCAAUAGCGUAUAUUAAAGUUGUUGCAGUUAAAAAGCUCGUAGUUGGAGUUCAGAGUGAGCUCAGCCGGUCCGCCUCAUGGGUGAGUACUGGUCGACUCUCUCUUGUUUGUGAAUCCCGCCCGGAGUUAAUUCUUCGGGAUGUGGAGUUCACAUCGUUUACCUUGAAAAAAUUAGAGUGUUCAAAGCAGGCGUUUGCUUGAAUAUAUUAGCAUGGAAUAAUGGAAUAGGACCCUGGUUCUAUUUUGUUGGUUUUGAGAACCAGAGUAAUGAUUAAUAGGGAUAGUUGGGGGCAUUCAUAUUUCAUUGUCAGAGGUGAAAUUCUUGGAUUUAUGAAAGAUGAACUUCUGCGAAAGCAUUUGCCAAGGAUGUUUUCAUUA
rnacentral:rRNA from 1 species